CUCUCCACUACUAGUCUACCGUCAGUGUCUACUGUCUAGUUGGAACUCUCUCCACUACUAGUCUACUGUCUAGUUGGAACUCUCUCCACUACUAGUCUACCGUUAGUGUCUACUGUCUAGUGUCUACUGUCUAGUUGGAAUCUCUCUACUACUAGUCUAGUGUCUAGUUGGAACUCUCUCC